rnacentral:rRNA from 1 species
GUGACCUACGGGACGCAGCAGUAGGGAAUCUUCCACAAUGGGCGAAAGCCUGAUGGAGCAACGCCGCGUGGGUGAAGAAGGUCUUCGGAUCGUAAAACCCUGUUGUUAGAGAAGAAAGUGCGUGAGAGUAACUGUUCACGUUUCGACGGUAUCUAAACAGAAAGCCACGGCUAACUACGGGCCAGCAGCCGCGGUAAUACGUAGGUGGCAAGCGUUAUCCGGAUUUAUUGGGCGUAAAGGGAACGCAGGCGGGCUUUUAAGUUUGAUGUGAAAGCCUUCGGCUUAACCGGCGUAGUGCAUUGGAA